rnacentral:rRNA from 1 species
UACGUAGGGGGCAAGCGUUGUCCGGACUUACUGGGCGUAAAGCGCGUGCAGGCGGAUGAGUAUGUGCCGUGUGAAAGCUCUCGGCUUGCCCGGGAGAGGUCGCGGUAGACAGCUUAUCUGGAGGCUCGGAGAGGUCAGUGGAAUUCCCGGUGUAGUGGUGAAAUUCGUAGAUAUUCGGAAGAACACCAGUGGCGAAGGCGGCUCACUGGACUGGUAUUGACGCUGAGGUGCGAAAGCGUGGGGAGCAAACAGG